UUGAAGUUAAUCAUUUUUAUUGAAUUGAUUCAUUGAUAAGUACCAUUGUAAAUAAAGAAUUUAUUACAAUAAAACGGUACUUAUUUAUGAAUCAAUCCGAUAUAUCUAUCCUUGACGUUGAUUAGAAAUACAUAUAUUAAUCGUUUAAAGUUAUUAACGAUUAUUAAUAAAACUUUUAACGAAGUUGCUACGUAAGAAUGUGAAAUGAAAUCUCUCACGAACGUAUUCGCUCAUAUACACACGAAUAUACGCGUACACAUGGAUACAUCAAAGAAAUCUCUCAUUAGUAUCCUCAUAUGUAUCUGCGAUGUAUAUAUGUGCAAACAAACAUGAAAAAAAGAUUAAUUAUCGGACCAACUUAAUUAAAAAUACGAUCAUCUUUUGUUUUUGUUUUUGUCGACCAAUUCGAAGUGUAAAAUUUUUUCUAAGGAAUACCUUAAGGCAAUUGUGUCGAAGGAUAAUUAUUGAAUGUAAGGAUAAUUAUCAAACGACAUGCACAAAAAUUUUGGCUAUAAGAUGUUUAAUAUUGUUGUGUUGAGCACUGCGAUAUAUACAAUUCAAGGAAGAAGAAAAGAACGAAAGAAGAUGACGAAGAUGAAGAUGAGAAUGAAGAUGAUGAUGAUGACGAAGGAGAAGAAGAAGGAGCAAUAAAUAUGGUAAUUUAUGAUAGUAUUCGAUGCGCUUCAAUCGUCUAAUCAAUUCUGAGUACGACAAUAUAUUUUGAAAGGGAGAAGUAACAGUUUCCAUUGUAUGUACGUGAGAAUGAAUGAUUCGCAAUAAAACACAUUCAAAGGCCUCUAUGUACGUAGUAUUACAUAUUAUUAAUAAUGUUAAUUGCUGUGAAAAAAAUCUUAGAACAUUUCCGAUUACGAAUUUUCAGGAAAUAGAUAAAUAAAUAAAUAAAUAAUAUUAUAUACAAGAAAUAUUCUUCGUCGAAUGUAUAUUAAAGAAUUAUAUAUAUUAUAUAUAUUAUAUACCAACGUCUGAAUAUAUAAAAAUGAAAAAAAAAAUAUUGGACAAAUGUUAUCGAAUGAAAAUGAUGUAAUUAAUCUGUGUUGACAAUCGCCAAUGUUCUGAGCUUAGAAUGAUCGAUAAAGAAAAAAAAAAAUAAGAGAAAAGAAAAGAUAAAAAAGCGUCUUA